rnacentral:rRNA from 1 species
UGCCCAGCAGCUAGCCCCCUCCUUAAAUCAAACACAACAUAUCAAUAUAAAUACACCCAGAUGCACUAAAUCUUAUAUUAAACAAACCAUUUUACCCCCUUAGUAUGGGCGACAGAAAAGGGCCCGUGGAGCAAUAGAGAAAGUACCGCAAGGGAACGCUGAAAGAGAAAUGAAAUAAACCAGUCAAGCCUAGAAAAGCAGAGAUUUAAGCUCGUACCUUUUGCAUCAUGAUUUAGCUAGUAAUACCCAAGCGAAGCGCACUUUAGUUUGGUUUCCCGAAACUAGGUGAGCUACUCCAAGACAGCCUAUUAAUAGGGCGAACCCGUCCCUGUGGCAAAAGGGUGGGAAGAGCUUUGAGUAGAGGUGACAGACCUACCGAACCUAGUUAUAGCUGGUUGCCUGAGAAAUGGAUAGAAGUUCAGCCUCUUGGUUUUUUCCGCCACCCUCGUCCGACCCCUUCUGACACCCUAAGAAACCAUGAGAGUUAUUCAAAGGGGGUACAGCCCCUUUGAAACAAGAUACAACUUUACCAGGAGGAUAAAGAUCAUAAUAAACUAAGGUAAAAUGUUCUGGUGGGCCUAAAAGCAGCCAUCCCUAUAGAAAGCGUUAAAGCUCAGACAUCUCACUUACCCCUUUAUUCUGAUAAUCAAAUCUUAGUCCCCUAGCCUUACCAGGCUAUCCCAUGCAAACAUGGGAGUAACCAUGCUAAUAUGAGUAAUAAGAGAGCCUCCGACUCUCUCCUUGCACACGUGUAAAUCGAAAUGGACCCGCCACCGAACCUUAACGGCCCCAAACAAAGAGGGUACUGAACAACAGACCAAACAACCAGAAAAACAUCCAAUAGACCAACCGUUAACCCCACACUGGUGUGCCCCCAAGGAAAGACUAAAAGAAAAAGAAGGAACUCGGCAAACACAUAAAGCCUCGCCUGUUUACCAAAAACAUCGCCUCUUGCAAAACUGAAGAAUAAGAGGUCCCGCCUGCCCUGUGACUAAGUGUUUAACGGCCGCGGUAUUCUGACCGUGCGAAGGUAGCGCAAUCACUUGUCUUUUAAAUGGAGACCUGUAUGAAUGGCAUAACGAGGGCUUAGCUGUCUCCUUUUUCAAGUCAAUGAAAUUGAUCUCCCCGUGCAGAAGCGGGGAUAAAACCAUAAGACGAGAAGACCCUAUGGAGCUUUAGACACCAAAGCAGAUCAUGUUAAGCACCCCUUGACAAAGGACUAAACCAGAUGACCCCUGCCCUAAUGUCUUUGGUUGGGGCGACCGCGGAGAAAUAAAAAACCCCCGCGUGGAAUGGGAGAACCCUCUCCUACAGCUACGAGCUCCCGCUCUAGUAAACAGAAUUUCUGACCUUACAGAUCCGGCAACGCCGAUCAACGGACCGAGUUACCCUAGGGAUAACAGCGCAAUCCUCUUUUAGAGCCCAUAUCGACAAGGGGGUUUACGACCUCGAUGUUGGNNNAGGACAUCCUAAUGGUGCAGCCGCUAUUAAGGGUUCGUUUGUCAACGAUUAAA